rnacentral:rRNA from 1 species
AGGACAUACUGAGUUUACGCUCUAUAACCCUUUGUGAACAUACCUAUAACUGUUGCUUCGGCGGGUAGGGUCUCCGCGACCCUCCCGGCCUCCCGCCUCCGGGCGGGUCGGCGCCCGCCGGAGGAUAACCAAACUCUGAUUUAACGACGUUUCUUCUGAGUGGUACAAGCAAAUAAUCAAAACUUUUAACAACGGAUCUCUUGGUUCUGGCAUCGAUGAAGAACGCAGCGAAAUGCGAUAAGUAAUGUGAAUUGCAGAAUUCAGUGAAUCAUCGAAUCUUUGAACGCACAUUGCGCCCGCCAGCAUUCUGGCGGGCAUGCCUGUUCGAGCGUCAUUUCAACCCUCAAGCUCUGCUUGGUGUUGGGGCCCUACAGCUGAUGUAGGCCCUCAAAGGUAGUGGCGGACCCUCCCGGAGCCUCCUUUGCGUAGUAACUUUACGUCUCGCACUGGGAUCCGGAGGGACUCUUGCCGUAAAACCCCCCAAUUUUCCAAAGGUGA